CCUACGGGAGGCAGCAGUGGGGAAUAUUGCACAAUGGGGGAAACCCUGAUGCAGCGACGCCGCGUGAGUGAGGAAGUAUUUCGGUAUGUAAAGCUCUAUCAGCAGGGAAGAAAAUGACGGUACCUGACUAAGAAGCCCCGGCUAACUACGUGCCAGCAGCCGCGGUAAUACGUAGGGGGCAAGCGUUAUCCGGAUUUACUGGGUGUAAAGGGAGCGUAGACGGAUAAGCAAGUCUGAUGUGAAAAUCCGGGGCUCAACCCCGGAAUUGCAUUGGAAACUGCAUAUCUAGAGUGUCGGAGAGGCAAGUGGAAUGCCUGGUGUAGCGGUGAAAUGCGUAGAUAUCAGGAGGAACACCAGUGGCGAAGGCGGCUUGCUGGACGAUGACUGACGUUGAGGCUCGAAAGCGUGGGGAGCAAACAGGAUUAGAUACCCCAGUAGUC
rnacentral:rRNA from 1 species